rnacentral:rRNA from 1 species
CCUACGGGGGGCAGCAGUGGGGGAUAUUGCACAAUGGGGGGAACCCUGAUGCAGCGACGCCGCGUGGGUGAAGGAGCGUUUCGGCGCGUAAAGCCCUAUCGGCAGGGAAGAAGAUGACGGUACCUGGCCAAGAAGCCCCGGCUAACUACGUGCCAGCAGCCGCGGUAAUACGUAGGGGGCAAGCGUUAUCCGGAUUUACUGGGUGUAAAGGGGGCGCAGACGGCAAUGCAAGCCAGGAGUGAAAGCCCGGGGCCCAACCCCGGGACUGCACUUGAAACUGCAUGGCGGGAGUACAGGAAGGGCAGGCGGAAUUCCUAGUGUAGCGGUGAAAUGCGUAGAUAUUAGGAGGAACACCGGUGGCGAAGGCGGGCUGCUGGACUGUGACUGACGUUGAGGCCCGAAGGCGUGGGGAGCAAACAGGAUUAGAUACCCUAGUAGUC